GAGCAGGUGUGUACAUGUGCAUGGGGGCAUGUGUGUGCGUGUGUGCGUGCAUGUGUGUGUGCAUGUGCAUGCGUGUGUG
rnacentral:miRNA from 1 species